UCUUCUAAUAUGUGUGACUCUAUAGGUUCAAACCUAAGUCGGUAGUAUAGGAAUAACUUUCUAUACUAAUCGAUGUAACCAUCUAGUAAUGGGAUCCGACAUCCAGAUAGGUCAAAAGAUUGCAAAGUAAUAUUUUAGAACCUACAGGCGUAUGGUUACUGUACAAUUCAUCCCUUUGAUCCAAAUGCUUAAGGUGAUCUAAUAUUUGACUAUCAACUCUAAUAUAGUUGACCACA
rnacentral:lncRNA from 1 species